rnacentral:rRNA from 1 species
CUGGCCGUAAACGAUGAACACUAGAUGUUGGGGGAAUCGACCCCCUCGGUGUCGUAGCUAACGCGUUAAGUGUUCCGCCUGGGGAGUACGCACGCAAGUGUGAAACUCAAAGGAAUUGACGGGGGCCCGCACAAGCGGUGGAGUAUGUGGUUUAAUUCGAUGCAACGCGAAGAACCUUAGCAAGGCUUGACAUCCUGCGAAUCUCCAAGAAAUUGGAGAGUGCCUUCGGGAACGCAGUGACAGGUGGUGCAUGGCUGUCGUCAGCUCGUGUCGUGAGAUGUUGGGUUAAGUCCCGCAACGAGCGCAACCCACGUUUUUAGUUGCCAGCAUUCAGUUGGGCACUCUAGAGAGACUGCCGGUGACAAACCGGAGGAAGGUGUGGACGACGUCAAGUCAUCAUGCCCCUUACGCCUUGGGCUACACACGUACUACAAUGCUGCAGACAAAGAGUAGCGAUCUUGCAAAAGUUAGCUAAUCUCGUAAACUGUGGCUCAGUUCAGAUCGUAGGCUGCAACUCGCCUACGUGAAGGAGGAAUCGCUAGUAAUCGCAGGUCAGCAUACUGCGGUGAAUACGUUCCCGGGCCUUGUACACACCGCCCGUCACACCAUGGAAGUUGGCCAUGCCCGAAGUCGUUACUCUAACCUUCCUUUGGGGAGGGAGAGGGCGCCGAAGGCAGGGCUGAUGACUGGGGUGAAGUCGUAACAAGGUAGCCGUAGCGGAAGCUGCGGCUGGAUCACCUCCUAA